rnacentral:rRNA from 1 species
AUUGAACGCUGGCGGCAGGCCUAACACAUGCAAGUCGAGCGGGCGACGGGCGGGUAAGGAAUAUAUGGGGGCUGCCCGAUGGAGGGGGAUAACUAAUAGAAACGGUAGCUCAUACUGCGUACUAACGGACGAGCCAUAAGGGAUUAGCUAGUAGGUGAGGUAAUGGCUCACCUAGGCGACGAUCCCUAGCUGGUCUGAGAGGAUGAUCAGCCACACUGGGACUUAGACACGGCCCAGACUCCUACGGAGGCAGCAGUGGGGAAUAUUGCACAAUGGGCGCAAGCCUGAUGCAGCCAUGCCGCGUGUAUGAAGAAGGCCCUAGGGUUGUAAAGUACUUUCAGUCGGGAGGCGUUACCGACAGAAGAAGCACCGGCUAACUCCGUGCCAGCAGCCGCGGUAAUUC